GGUUCCGUAGUGUAGUGUUAUCACGUUCGCUUCAAUAGCGAAAGUUGCCCCGGUUCGAUCCCGACGGAACCA